UACGUAGGGCGCAAGCGUUGUCCGGAAUUAUUGGGCGUAAAGAGCUCGUAGGCGGUUUGGUAAGUCGGGUGUGAAAUCUCCACGCUCAACGUGGAGGGGCCACUCGAUACUGCCAUGACUCGAGUCCGGUAGAGGAGUGUGGAAUUCCCGGUGUAGCGGUGAAAUGCGCAGAUAUCGGGAGGAACACCCGUAGCGAAGGCGGCACUCUGGGCUGGAACUGACGCUGAGGAGCGAAAGCGUGGGGAGCAAACAGG
rnacentral:rRNA from 1 species